rnacentral:pre_miRNA from 1 species
CAUGCACUGGUGGGGUCCUUUGGCCUGGCCUGUGCCCUCUCGCAAUCCAAGACCCUUUGAGGGAUGUUGGAGAGCCGGUUUUGGCCCGAUCCCACAGGCCAGGCCAAGGGACCCCACCGGUGCACG